rnacentral:rRNA from 1 species
UACAGAGGUGGCAAGCAUUGUUCGGAAUUACUGGGCGUAAAGGGCGCGUAGGCGGUUCGAUAAGUCCCGUGUGAAAUCCCUCGGCUCAACUGAGGAACUGCACGGGAAACUGACGGGCUUGAGUUCGGGAGAGGGAAGCGGAAUUCCGGGUGUAGCGGUGAAAUGCGUAGAUAUCCGGAGGAACACCGAUGGCGAAGGCAGCCCCGUGGACCUGUACUGACGCUCAUGCACGAAAGCGUGGGGAGCAAACAGG